CUAAAGACAAAACCAAACAGACACAACGACAAACACCAGCGAUGACUUUGGCUACAUGUCUAACGUGUCUGUUGCUAACAGCUGUUUCUGGCAUCUACAGUCAGACUCUGACUGAAUCUGAACCAGUGAUAAAGCGGCCUGGAGAGUCCCACAAACUGACAUGUACCUACGCUGGAAUAUCUGAUAGUGAUGCAGAUAUCAGCUGGGUCAGACAAGCUGAAGGAAAAGGCCUGGAAUGGGUUGCCUUCAUUUCUGCUCCAAGUGGAAGCAACAAAUAUUAUUCAUCAUCUGUCCAGAAUCACUUCACCAUCUCCAGAGACAACGACAUGGACCAGGUGUAUCUGCACAUGAACAGCCUGACGACUCAAGACUCUGCUGUUUAUUAUUGUGCUCGAGACCACGGUGACACAUGAAGCCACAGAGCUGUACACAAACACUGCAGAUGUGAGUCUGAGUAUUCCCUAAAUAU